AUAGCCUUAAGAUAUACACAAUCUUUAUGUCUUUUAAACAUACAAUGCUUUUGGCAGGUUAUA
rnacentral:tRNA from 1 species